rnacentral:rRNA from 1 species
GAUGAACGCUAGCGGGAGGCCUAACACAUGCAAGCCGAGCGGUAUUGUUUCUUCGGAAAUGAGAGAGCGGCGUACGGGUGCGUAACACGUGUGCAACCUGCCUUUAUCUGGGGGAUAGCCUUUCGAAAGGAAGAUUAAUACUCCAUAACAUAUUGAACGGCAUCGUUUAAUAUUGAAAGCUCCGGCGGAUAGAGAUGGGCACGCGCAAGAUUAGCUAGUUGGUGAGGUAACGGCUCACCAAGGCGAUGAUCUUUAGGGGGCCUGAGAGGGUGAUCCCCCACACUGGUACUGAGACACGGACCAGACUCCUACGGGAGGCAGCAGUGAGGAAUAUUGGUCAAUGGGUGCAAGCCUGAACCAGCCAUCCCGCGUGAAGGACGACUGCCCUAUGGGUUGUAAACUUCUUUUGUAUAGGGAUAAACCUACCCUCGUGAGGGUAGCUGAAGGUACUAUACGAAUAAGCACCGGCUAACUACGUGCCAGCAGCCGCGGUAA